CCAGAAUUGAGUCUGUCCUGUGACCUCAAGACUGCUGGGAGAUUAAAUCCUGCGUUCCAAGACGGUACCUCCGAGUCCAGCUUUCCUGCUUCUCUAAUCUUCUGUCCUGGCUUCUGGGUAGUAUACGCAUGCGAAGUUGCUUCAGUCGUGUCCAACUCUUUGCGACUCUAUGGACUAUGGCCCACCAGGCUCCACUGUCUAAGGAAUUCUCCAGGCAAGAAUACUGGAAUGGGUUGCCAUCUCCUUCUCCCGCCCAGGGAUCGACCUGUGUCUCUUGCAUCUCCCGCAUUAGCAGGUUCAGUGUCUCAGCGUCACUCCGCCUGGGCCUGACAGUCACAGACCAGCAAUGGCCAAGCAGACACCUUCCACGGCCUGGCCCGCUUCAAGGGUGCUGAGCUGCGUGUCCCUGAGCGAGGAACGAGACCCCAGCCUGCCGGUUCUGAGCAAGGGGGACUUGGGAAGGAGA
ensembl:lncRNA